UUGUUUAAUCAAUUUGUUCUGAAAAUAUAAUUUUAUUAUUAUUGUAGUUUUAAUAAUGGCUUUCAGAAAUAUUUUUGUUCUAUUAAUUUUCAAGAAAAAAUUUAUUUUGUUAUAGUUGAUUUUGUAUUGUGAAAGAAUAUUUAUAUUUAUUUAAAAGAAAAAUUUAAUUUUUGUACCUUGGGUAUCAGGGCUGAUUAAAUUAUUAUUAUAUAUUUAUUUAUCUCGAAUUAAAAAGAGCUAAGACUUUAUUUUAUAAGUGUUUUAUAAUUUUUAUUAAUAUAGUUUUAGUAAUGAAAUGUUAUUCGUUUUUUAAUAUAUCUAGUUUUUUAAGAAAUAAAUUUAAUUUAUUUAUUUUUAAAAUUGUUUUACAUUAAUUAAUAUAAUUUUGGAAAUAAGAAAUUUUCUUGGGGAAAAGCUUAAGAAAAUAUGUUUAUUUAAUUUAGGUAAAAAUUUAUAUGUAGAAUUAAAAAUUUUCAUCUUUUAUAUAAUGUUAUAGUUUCUUUAUUGAAAAUUGUUAUUUAUAUUAUUAAUAAAUUAUUUAUUAAAAUUUUGAAUUUAAUUAUUUAAUUUAGGUAAUAAUGAUUAUAUUAGUAUAUUUUUAAGUAAUUAAUAUUUUAAAUAUGGAGAUGUAAAUAAUGAAUUCGGCAAUUUUAUUUUUCACCUGUUUAUUAAAAACAUGUCCUUUUGAAAAUGAUUUAAGGUUGGGCCUGCUCAAUGACUAAGUUAAAUGGCUGCAGUAUUUUGACUGUACUAAGGUAGCAUAAUCAUUAGUUUUUUAAUUGAGAACUGGAAUGAAAGGUUUGAUGAAAAAAUAACUGUCUCUUUUAUAUAAAUAAAAUUUUAUUUUUAAGUUAAAAAGCUUAAAUAUUACUAAAAGACGAGAAGACCCUAUAGAGUUUAAUAAUUUAAUAAUUUUAUAAAUAAAGAUAAAAAUUAUAUUGGAUUAUAUAAAUUUAUUUGAUUGGGGUGAUUAUAGAAUUUAAAAAACUUCUAUUUAAAUAAACUUUAAUUAAAGGUUGGUGUGAUUAAUUUAUUGUGAUUAAAAGAAUAAAUUACCUUAGGGAUAACAGCGUUAUCUUUUUUUAGAGUUCAAAUCGAUAAAAAGGAUUGCGACCUCGAUGUUGGAUUAAAAUAAACUUUUAGGCGCAAAAGCUAAAUAGUUGAGUCUGUUCGACUUUUAAAAUUUUACAUGAUCUGAGUUUAAACCGGUGUGAGCCAGGUUGGUUUCUAUCUUUAGUAGAAAAAAAAAUUUUAGUACGAAAGGACCAAAUUUU
rnacentral:rRNA from 1 species